UCUACUAGCUAGCUAGCUUCAUUACUAGAAUAAUCCCAUAAAUUUUGUUACUGAUAUUUAGUUCGAUUCACAAAGUAUGAAGUUUCAUCUAAUGUUCAUUCUGUUUCUUCUGUCAAAUCUCCAUAAUUACGAAGCCGAAGGUAUAAGGCUGGGAAGAGUUGUUUUAUCAUCUAGCAACCAUCAAGCAAUGAUCACCAAGAGUUCGUCGAUAGAGGCAAGCAACCAAGAUAGAGACUUGAUAACAAAAACUGAUGAACUUCCAUCAGAUGAGAGGUUGGCCCUAACUUGGGGUUAAUUUUCCAAAAGAUUGCGAAAAUAAGUUUCUAUUAACGAGGAAACUCAGUCAUGUUGUUAGAGAGGUCUCGCAUUAACCCACAAGCGCGCUAGCUAGGAUUGGCCCGUAGUUGAUCAGUGAACUUGAUACUCCCUAACCUGCUGGCCUUCUUAAUUAGCUAACUUAUUGAGUUAUGUAUACCCGUUUAUUUGUGGGACGAUUUUACAUCAAUGUCAUGAUUGUCUCUUACUUGCUAAUCAUCUUGUGCAUUUGUCAAUUUAUUCAUGUUUCUUUUUGUAAUAUAUUUGCAGGAAUAAAUAGAAAAUUAAUAACCAAUGUAACAUCUUCUAACAUUCCUAAGGUUGGUUAAUCAAAUCAAAACCAUAUAAUUAUAAUAUAUAGGAGCAAGAAGUUAAUGCUGAAAUAAAGUACUUCUUUUCAUUAUAUAUGUAUGUACGUUACUAGUACUAUAUAUUUUGGUCAUGUACAGAAUUACAAGAAUGAUGAUGGAAAUAAAUAUGACCCUAAACCGGAUAUUAAAUCUUCUCUCGGACCAGUAGGAAAUGGAGAUGAUUUCUUGUUUAAUCUGUCACCUGAAAAUUGGAAACUUGGAGAGGAAGGCGCUGAGGAGCAGGGUCCGGACAACAUUCAUAUCGGUGUAAUGGAUUAUUCUGCUCCUAAAUCCAAGCCUCCAUCACACAACUAAUUAGGCUUGAUGAUCGAAUUGAUCGAAAUAAUACUGAGAAAUCAAGAUAAAUAAUAAAGCAAGUACAUGAUGUGAUAUGAUGUAGUAAAAGAAACUAUCUGAUAUAAAUAUCCCAUAAUCUAAUUAUAUAAGUUAAAUCAGACAGCAUCGUGGAAAUGAAGCAGGUUUUUUGGAUGGAACAAGAUCGAUCAUGAAGUUAUGCUGUCGAUCUGUUUGGAAGUAUUAAAUUAAUGGUCUUAAUAUAGAAUAAGUUAAUUAAUUA